AAUGAACGCUGGCGGCGUGGAUUAGGCAUGCAAGUCGAACGUGAAAGCGGUUUUAAUCGCGAGUAAAGUGGCGAACGGGUGAGUAACACGUGGGAAACCUGCCUUUGAGUGGGGGAUAACAUCUCUAACGGGAUGCUAAUACCGCAUAACAUCACAGGUCGCAUGUCCUGUGAUCAAAGAUGGCCUCUACAUGUAAGCUGUCGCUUGAAGAUGGUCCCGCGUCCCAUUAGCUAGUUGGUAGGGUAACUGCCUACCAAGGCGACGAUGGGUAGCUGGUCUGAGAGGAUGGUCAGCCACACUGGGACUGAGAUACGGCCCAGACUCCUACGGGAGGCAG
rnacentral:rRNA from 1 species